rnacentral:pre_miRNA from 1 species
UUAAAGAAUUUGAAGACUUCAACUUAUAGACAUGGAGUAUUUGAAUACUUCGACUUGCAUCUUGAAGAAUUUGAAGACUUCAACU